rnacentral:lncRNA from 1 species
CAAGCACAGACAGGGAUAGCGUGCCCGGGAAGAGAUGUCCCAGUGAACACGCUGGCUCAGGCUAGAAUUCGCUAUAGUACAACAGCUCAGAGCAGGGACACUGAGCCAGGCAGCCUUGAUUCCUAUUUAUUCAUCAGUCAGGUUAUCUAACCUGUCUGGACCCCAAUAUUUAUCUAUCAUCUAUCAGAUGGAGAUAAUAGUACUUACUUGUAUCAUGCUGGGCUUUUUGGGCAGUUGGAGCGGGUACUGGCAAUUGAACCAAGGGGCUCUUUAUCACUGAGCCACAUUCCCAGAUCCCCAGCCCUUAUUUUAUUUAUUUAUUUUUGGUACCAGGGAUUUAAUCCAGGGGCGCUCAACCACUGAUCCUCCUGCUUCAGCCUCCUGAGCUGCUGAGAUUAUAGGUGUGUGCCAGCACACCCAGCUAUUUUGUUUUUAUUUUUGAGGCAGAUUCUCGCUAAAUUGCUUAGGGCCUCACUGAGUUGCAGAGACUGGCUUCGAACUUGUGAAUUCUCCUGCCUCAGCCUCCAGAGUUGCUGGGAUUACAGGUCUAUGCCACUGUGCCUGGCUUCAUGAUGUUUAAAGAGGAUAAAAAGAGUUAAAAUGUGUGCAAGUCUUUGAAGAAUGCCUGCCAUAUAGUAAGUAUUCUUUUUAUAAAUAUAUGUUAGAUUCAGGUAGAGUGGCAUUUGCUGUUAUCCCAACUACUCGGGAGGCUGAGAGAGGAUGAUUACAAGAUCAAUGUCAGCCUCUGCAACUUAGUGAGACCCUGUCUCAAAAUUAAAAAAUAAAAAGGGCUGGGAGCUGGGCGCAGCAGCACACACCUACAAUCCCAGCAGCUUGGGAGGCUGAGACAAGAGGAUUGUGGGUUCAAAGCCAGCCUCAGCAAUGGUGAGUCACUGAGUAACUCAGUGAGACCCUAUUUCUAAAUAAAAUACAAAAUAGGGCUGGGGACGUGGCUCAGUGGUUGAGUGCCUCUGGGUUCAAUCCCUGGUACCAAAAAAAAAAAAAAAAAAAAAAGGAAAUAAUGCUCUGGAUUCAUUCACUAUUAAACAGCAGUGGAAAGGAAAUUUAACUAUUAAGGAGAGACAGAGAGAAUGACCCCAAAUCCCCCAGAUAGCUAGCUGUGUGGCUGUGUAGUGAGGAACAAGAUAGCUGAGUGCCAAGCCUUGGUCCUGGUGCUUUAUUGGAGAGGUCACCCUCUUAUCCUGCUCAGCCACCUGGGAAAUCAGGGAUAAGGAAGCCCCACUGGGCUCUUGGGAUUAGUUAUUGGGAAAUACUUAAGGUAGAGGCAUUCAUUCCACUUAAAGCAUAUUGGAAGAAGACCAAUUUAUAUUUGCAUAUGACUUCAACAUCAUUUGCCCCUUUAUUUUUUUUCCACCAGCUUUUAACUCAGAGAUUACAUUAAAAUAAACUCUAAAAGCCUCUCCUGGCCUAUCACACCUCUGCACUUUCCUCCUGUCUCAGCUAGUGUCAAAAACAAAUUUUCCCUGGUGCCAUCCCAUGCUAGUGUCAUGCAGUGGUCAAGGGUACCACCCUUGAGUGCUUCGAAAUAAGCCUGCAGAGUCUGUGUCCCCUCUGUGUCCCACGGACACCACCACCCAAGCCCAUGGCUUCAUGGCAGUGAACUGUCGAUGCUCAGGUUUCAAACUCCUUUCAGUUGGGCAUUUUGGCAAAGGCUUCCUUCCUGUGUCAUGGCAUUUCCUGGCACACACUCUUGUUAAAUUCAUUGGACUGAAGCAGCAGGACAGCAUCAUGAUUCAAAGCUAAGGGCCUGAGAAUCGGGCAAGAGUUCAAACCUGCUCUCAUUACUUUCUGGCUAUAGAGAUAGAGUUUAGGCAAGUUCUCUGUCUCUAAAGCCUUACUUUUCUCCUCAAGCAGGAAUCACCUGCAUUUCCCAGUGCCAAUGUGGGGAUCGCAGGUGAUAAAGGAAAAGUGCUUAGCACAUACCUGGCAGAGUACCUUGGGCUGAUAUGGAGCUAUUCUUAGCAGGCAGAGGAGAGCAGAGCUGGGCCCUGCAGCUGCUCUUUCGAAUUCCCCCCCUCCACCCUCCUCCUCCCAGUCACCAGGUUUUAGAAGCAGGAUAAUUACUAAUGUGUUGAAAUCUGGGUGGGGCACAGGUAUAUUUAAAAUUACAAACAGGCUGUGACAAACUAUUUCAUCUGUGCAGGUUAUAAGGCACUAGGUAUCAGAGGCGAAUAAUUAUUCCCGUUUUGUGAAAUAAUUGGGGCUAGGGGGUGGGAGUGGGGUAGGGACACACUAUGAAUGUUUCUGAUCUAGCACACUGUGGAGGAGGAGGUGAAUCCCUGGCUAUUCUCUGUGCUCCAACUGGAUUACUUGCAAAGGCUGGUGAUGAUGUGGCCAGAAACUGUGGGUACUCGGAUUUGUUUUUGGCACCAGGGAAAACAGACUCUAAACUGAUCAUUAUACCACUCUUGCAAAAUUAAACAAAACAAAAAACAAACAGCAAACAAAAACCCCUGGCAGAGCCCCCGCACCUCCAAUUGAGAUCACAGAAACAGUUCCUACGUGACCUUUUCCAGGGUUGGACUGAGCUCUGCUUGGAUUCCAGGCAGAAACAAAACAGAUCUUCAGGCCCUGUGGCUCAAAGGAAAAGCAGUCCUUAUCUUUUAGAGGUCAGCCUCCUCCCUUCUUGUCUAGCUGUAUUAAUAUCAAAUGAAGGCCACAAAAGGGUCAGACAGGCCCAUGCUUAUCUUAGCCCAGUGCAGACUUCCUUGGCUAAAAGUGAGGAUGUAGCCAGGCCACACUCCACCAAUUUCAGGUAAAGUAGCUUUUUUUCCCCCCUGGAGUUCCCUGGGGCAGCUGGCCAAGAACCCCUGAAAGUCCUUUCUCCUAGGAAGUGCCAAGUUUUGUCCACUUGGUUUCAUAAAAGUUGGUGUAAUGUGGCUGAAUGGCGAGUCCUGCACCAUUGUCUUAAGGUGGACUAGGGCUCUCUGUUGAAUGGGAGGGGGAAGAGCGAAAGGGAAAUUGGGAAGAGAGGAAAAAGCAAAAUUCCCCAUUGACAUUUUUCUUUCUUUUUUUCUUUUUUGGUGCAGGGUGUUAAACUCAGGCUCUCCCACCUGUUAAAUACACACCCCACCACAAAAUUACACCUUCAGUCCCUUUCUGUGGUGUUUUUCCCCUUCCCCCCCCCACCCCAGCCCUUUUUUUGAGACAAAAUCUCACUAAAUUGCCCAGACUGACCUUGAAUUUGUGAUUUUCCAGCCUCAGAAGUAGCUGGGAUUAUUGGCAUGUGCCUCACAUCCAGCAAUCUGUAGCCUGUGGCAUUUCUAAAUGGGGCUCAUAAUCAUGCACACACACUCAUUACCUGCUUUGAAAACAUCACAUAUAAAAUGUUAUAUAUUAUAGAAAACAUAUACAGUAUCAUAUUAUAUAUACAUACAUAUAUAUAAUAUAUAAAAUAAAUAAAUAUAUACAUAUAUAUUUAUACACACAUAUAUAUUUUUGUUACUGGGGAUUGAACCCAGGGGUGCUUUAGUACAGAGCUACAUCCUACAGCAUGGAGCAUGGAGUUGGACAAAGAUUUCUUUCUUUAUCUCAUGAAUUUGAAUAAAAGAAUAAAAUCUACAACACAAGGGUGAGAGCAAAGUAAUAGGAUUUGUUAGAGUAAUAAAAAAAAAGCAGAACUCCCCAAAAAAGAAGAGUCCCAAGAGAGGGGGAUACCCAGGAGUGGCUAUUGCCUAGGGGUUUAUAUAUAUCUAUAGGUUUAAGGAAGUUAGUCCCCUGCCCAAUCCUGAGUAAGGCACUCAGUGUCCACAAGGUAUUCAUGCAGCCUUUAGUCCAAUAAAAAUAUCAAUCAGGCAUUUUUCCUUCUUUGGAGAGGCAUGGACUCCAGUCACACAGGUUGAUUUUGACAAAGCCUUUUUUUGUAAGUUUCUUAGCAAAUAUCUGCAGGUGCUAUUGGUGCUCUACUAUCAGGGGCCCAUCUCCCUGUCCUGCCAGCCUUAUCACUUGCUCUGAUGUCAAUCCCCAACUCCUUUUUAAAUUUCCUUUAGAGAUGUGGUCUUACUAAGUUACCAAGGUGACCUUAAACUUGAGAUCUUCCUGCCUCAGCCUCCUGAGUUGCUGGAAUCACAGGCAUGUGCCAUGGCACCUGGCAUAAAAUUUGUGAAUCUUUCUCAUCCAGAUUGGAUGUCCCUGAAAAAUCUUCAAUUGUUUUUUUCAAUAUUGGUUUCCCCACUUUCUUUCUCUGUUUCCUCAUCUUUCCUUGUUCCUUUGUUGCUUGCCUCCCAUGAACAUUUCUGAAGGAGAACAAAUCAGCUCUCUCACUAAUUGCAGAGCUCAAGCAAGUUCACAUGCAAACUUGCCACAGCUUCAAAUCUUGCAAAGUAUUCUCACCAACAGUCAGUCACAAAGCUUUCUGGGAACAUCAAGAGAAGUCUUAAGCCACUAGCUAGUGAAUUAUUUUCAUGUCAUAAAUCCUUAAAUUUACAGAGCCAGGACCCAGGGGAAGGAGCAGGACCAUGAUUCAGAAGGGCUGCUGUCCUGUUGGCACACUCUCCACAGCUCUCUGGGUCAUUCAGGGAAAUAUCCACCUGACUCAGCCCUCUCUGCUACUGUCUCUCCCUCAGUGGUCCUGGAAUAUUGACAUCAAGAUUUUAACAGUUCAUCAGGCUUGUAAUCCCCGGACUCAAGAGGCUGAGGCAGAGAAUUUCAGCCUCAGUAAUUUGGGGAGACCCUCAGCAAGUUAGCCAGCCCCUGUCUCAAAAUAAAAUAAAAGACUGGGUAUGAAGCUCAGUGGUAAAGCAUGUCUGGGUUCAAUCCCCAAUACUAAAAAUAUAAGUAAUUUUUAAAGAAAAAGACUGGGGCCAGGUGUGGUGGGACACAACUGGGGAAGCUGAGGCAGGGGAAUGGCAAGUUUGAGGCCAGCCUGUGCAAUAAUUUAGCAAGACCCUCAGCAACUUUAGUGAGACUCUGUCUCAAAGUAAAAAGGACUGGGUAGGAGCCGGGCAUGGUGGCACAUCCCUGUAAUCCCAGUGGCUGGGUAGACUGAAGCAGAAGGAUUGUGAGUUCAAAGCCAGCCUCAGCAACUUAGUGAGGCCCUAAGCAACUUAGCGAAAUCUGUCUCAAAAUAUUUAAAGGACUGGGGACAUGGCUUAGUGGUUAACCAACUCUGGGUUCAAUCCCUGGUAACAAAAAAAAAAAAAAAUAAAGGAUUGGGUAUGCAGCUCAGUGAUAAAGCACAUCUGGGUUCAAUUCCCAUUACCAAAAAAAUUAAAAAUAAACCCCAAAUAAAAAAGUGCUGGGGAUAUGGCUCACUGAUAGAGCGCCCCUGGGUUUAAUCCCUGUUGCAGCAGGGGGCGCAGGGAAGAGAACCAGUAGCCCCCCAUCCACAAGCCCCAGGUUGAAAAUCUGCCAGGCACCUUUCUUGUGAGUAGGAAAUUUUCCCUAGGGAGGGAUUGGGCUACAUCUGCAGGGUUCCUACUUUGAGGGGAGAUUUGAGAAUCCACUUGUUAGCAGUGGCAGCAAGAGCUGGGAUUUCCCUGGGUUUCUCUACUGGUCACUCCAUCUCACUUAAGUUCUGGCUUUGGAGGGGAACUGGAGCUUUGGAAAAGAACAGUAGAAACUGGAAAACCCCCCCACCCCCACACUCACACAUCCAACUCUGCCCAGGAAAGAAAAAUCCUUUCCUGUACAUGGGUGUCUUGGACACAGACAUGAUUUUAGUUCAUUUUUUUUGUUGUUGUUGUUUUGUUUUUCUAUGUAUGCACAGAGCCACACAUGCGCAUAAAGGAACAAAAUCAGAAUGGUUCACUUUGUCAUUGUUGCUACAGAGUCUUGUUUAUUUUAUAGUUAAACAAAGGCAUAGAGGGACUUCUCUAAACUUUUUGCUCAGAAAACCAAACUUGAACUUUGGUCCUUAAAGGAUUCCUGGAAUACUGUUCUAGUGAGCAGAGAGCACCCACUCAUAGCUUUCUCUCUCCUCUCAAGGGUCUUUGAUCUUCACUGCCUGUUCUGCUACACAUACACCAAAUAGACACAGUGUCCUAACUCAAGAGGCCGAAAGUCUUGUGAAGUUCAAUCAGAAAAUUGUCCGAAGGAGGAUGAGAAGAAACAAAGAGUCGCAAGGUUGCAGAGAGGCUGUGACUAAUCAUACUAACAGUGGCUAACACUGUUCAGCAAGUGGGCGCCAGGCCCAUGCGGUAAACAGAUAAUCCCACUUGAAUAUCACAAUGCCCUGGGGAGGAAGUGCUGCAUGUAUUCUCAUUUUAUAAUCCAUGGCACAGAAUAACUGCACAAUGUCCACGUUUGAACCCUGGCCCCACCACUACCUGACCCUGGGCAAACUACUAUCAGUGCCUCAGUUUCCUUUAUUGUAAGCCAAACUGGAUAAGAAUAAUAUCUAGAAUUCCUGUGAAGACUAAGUGAGAUGAAAGACACAAAGGGUUUAGUAAUUAAUUCCAGAGGGUGCUGAAGCAGGAGAAUUAGGAGUUCAAAGCUAGCCUCAGCAAUGGUGUGGUGCUAAACAACUUUGUGAGAACUUGUCUCUAAAUAAAAUACAAAAUAGGGCUGGGGACAUGGCUCAGUGAUUGAGUGUCCCUGAGUUCAAUCCCCAGUACCAAAAAAAAAAAAAAAAAGGCUUGGGACACCGUAAAUUUUGUUUUACCACUAUGACCUCAUUCACCCAGCUGAGAGGCUACUGAACCCGGAUUAGACCCAAGUCUGGCCAUUAGGGAUCUGCUUGUGCAGGAAGCAAAGUUCUAGGAAGCGGGGAGCCCCUAACAAAGUCUGGUGGCGUGGCCUUUGCUCUCCUGCUUCAGGUGCCUCCUGCUCUGGGUUUCCCCCUCACAGGAAGGAUGGGUUGCAGCUCAGACAUCCUCUGACACAUCAUCUACCAUGAACCACAAACAGACAAAACCCGUGAGUUCUCAUCUGUCUCUAUAGUGGCCAGUUUGUGACGCAAAAUCCUGCUUGGAGAAGCAAUUCUGGGAGGCUUUGCUGGACCUCUCAGCCUUGGUGUCCUGCCAAGCACUGUGCUCCAGGCAGCCUCUUCUCCAGCCUGGCCUUUCGAGCACCACUCUUUUCCUUGAACAAGUCAAUGAGCUCUUUCUUCUGCCCAGCCAUGUAUCAACAAGGCACGACACGGGCUUGGCUCGCUGUCUCCAAUCAGUGGGAUUGCUGGACUCCUGUCUCCCAUGAGGGUGGCCCCUUCCCACUGGGGCUGCUUUUUCUUGGGUAUUCCCCUGGUUGGUACCCUCACCCUGGUAACAAUUUGCAAGGGACUUCUGGGAUUGGUGCUAAGGCAACCUUCCCCCUAGCCCCACGGCUCCUAUCAGGCAGCACUUCCCUGAGCUUAGGGAAAGUAGGCUCAGAAUUUAGGUCCAUGUCGCUGCUUAGUGGAGGGGUUUCAGGAACACCAAGGAGCUACUGCCCCCAAUGUUUUUCCCACUGGGCAGCAUUCAGCAUUCACCUAACAAUCUCUCCAUUACCAGCAUUCAAGUUGUUUAGUUUAAACCUGUGUUUCAGAUUGUGAGGACACACUGAUUUAGUUUCCAUCUGUUAUUCUGUGAACAAGGCCUAUUUUGUCCGCUAAAGUGUCUUUCUUUGGGUGAUAAACUAUAUGUCCUCCUAAGUGUGGUGCAUUAGGUCUCUGGGAGAUGGCUGUUAUGAUGCACAUGGUUUCUGGGUACUCUCAUUUACUAGCUUAGUUAACUGAAGGCAAAAAAGUACUUAUGAGGACUUGAGGGAAUUGCUAUUGGUUUGCUUAUCCAGUGUGUGUAUGGAUGGUAGCGGUGAGGAGGGAGAGACCUCAGAUGGACUGGCUUUAGGAAAAGAGUUGAGGCCCUAUUCUCACCACCCCCACCCUACCCCUGCAUUCCAAGCCUGGCCUGGUCAGGGUUAGCCUAUUUUCUUACCCUCCUGAGCCUUACUCCAGGAUUGCAAUUGUCUAUGGACCUGCCAGAUCCCCCCACCACACCAUAAGUUUUCUAAGAGCAAGGACUAGAUGUUAUUCAGCUUUCUAUCUUCAGCAUCUAAUCCCAUGUUUGUCAUGUGAGAUGUGCUUAUUGAAAUCUUUCCCUUGCAGGGCAUGAUAGCAUACACCUUUAAUCCAAGCAACUCAGGAGGCCCAGGCAGGGAGAUCAUAAAUUCAAGACCAGCCUGAACAAUUCAGCAAGACCUUCAGCAACUUAAGGAGACCCCGUAUCAAUAAAAUAAAAUAAAAUGGUUCAGGAUGUAGUUCAGUGGAAAGCACCCUGGAUUCAAUACCCAAUACCAAGGGAAAAUAUAUAUACAUAUAAGUAAAUAAAUUAAUGACUAAUAUAUAUGAAAUAAUAUAUUAGUCAUUAAUUUAUUUAUGAAUAAAUAAAUUAUAGAAUUAAUGAAUAAAUAAAUUAUAGAAUUAAUCUCUUUAACUUACUAUAAAAGGGAAAACCUAGCCUUUUAAAGUUGUUGUGGGGAAUUGAGAGGGUUUACGUAAACUGUUUAGUACAUGACAAAUUGUUAUCUUGCAUUAAACAGAAACUAACAUGUUGUUCCUCAACCUGAAGGUAGUCCACUAAAAUCAAGCCAGAGAAUUGGAAAGGCACCUCCCAGACAGCAUUGCCAUCUUCUGUAAAGCAUAUGUUUCCUUCUCCAGGAUCCAUCUGAAGUUUGUAGUCAAUGGAAUAAUCUCCAUGGGCUUGUUGGAAUGAAAAGGGGGGACAUACAAGGCGAUUUGUUCCAAAACUUACUUAGGGGUCAACAGUUCUUAGAAAAUAUGGCAAAUAAAUGGAAUGAGGGAGAGGAAGCACCAGGUGUUUGGGAAGGGUCUAGAACACGAUGGCUGCAGAAAGAGGAGCUGGGGUGGGGGGCAGAGCAAAUAGGAAAAAAUGAAAGAAAGUUCCAUGGGCCCCCUUAUAUGCUUUGCAGCACUCAGGGACACCGAUGCUGGUUAAUUCCCUAUGUGAUCCUUGGGAAGUCCUGUGAAGGGGGUGUUAUUAUCCCAUUUUCAUCUGAGAACAUUUGAGCCUGGUGGUUAGAUAACUGACAGCUGCUGAGCAGCAACUGCUGGAACUCAUCCUAGGCCUGUCCAAACUGGAGUUCACCUACCUUCCCACAGUGCUGCCUUCCCCAUGGUGGUCUUGGGAGCAGGAUCACAAGGAAGAUCUGCAGUGGGGUAGAUUUAUUUCUACUUUCUGACCCAACCUACAAGAAGUAGGACACCACUAGGAUCACCUUCCAGCCCACAGUAGGCUCUCAGCAAACCCUGAAUGGCCAAUGGGAACUGAGUUUAGGCACAUGCUCAACAGUCCAUGCCAGUAGGACAAAUACCCAAACUGGAGGGAUUAUUUGUGUGACCUAGAAGUUCUUUAUUUUAUUUCUUCCACAACGACCUUGACUCAUGAACCCACAAAAAUAAUCUAAUUCAUAUAUUGUGCCCAACACCAUUAUUUUUUGUUCUAUUUAUUUACUUUCAAUAGGAGAGAUAGAAUUAAAUCCCUAUAAAAAUAGAUUUGGCUUAAAUUAUGUGUAUAUAAUUUAUAAUUCAUUAUUAAUGGCUUAUCUUUCAUUUGAAGACAUUUUAAAAUACAAACUAUACCAAUAGGAGCUGGCAUGGUGGCACAUGCCUCUAAUCCCAGCAGCUCGGGAGGCUGAGGCAGGAGGAUCACAAGUUCAAAGCUAGCCUCAAUAAAAACGAGGCACUAGGCAACUCAGUGAGACCCUAUCUCUAAAUAAAAUACAAAAUAGGGCUGGGAGUGUGGCUCAGUGGCCAAGUGCCCCUGAAUUAAUCCCUGGUACCAAAAAAAGAAAAAGAAAUUAUACCAAUAGGUGUAAUAUUUUGGAGCUGGAGAGGAUCUUAGUAUUCAUCUGAUUAAAUAUCCCAUUUUUCAGAAAAGAAAGAGACACAACUUAUAUGACUUAUCUAAGGCCGGGCUCUAGGGCAUGGCACAGCUGGAUACAAAGCCAGGGGACUCCUCUGGACCACAGGUUUUCAAAUUUUGAAGAAAGAGCCAUUGAUGAGUGGAAAAAUCAAUUUUUGUAGUUUACAACCAACUUUUUAUUUUGUACUGGGGAUUUAACCCAGGGGUGCUUUACCACUGAGCUACAUCCCUAGCCCUUUUUGUUUUAUAUUUUGAGACAGGGUCUAAGUUGCUCAGGGCCUCAGUAAAUUGCUGAGGCUGCCUUGAACUUCAAUCCUCCUGCCUCAGCCUCCUGAGUUGAUGGGAGUGGUGCCUGGAUUUAUUUAUUUACUUAUUUAUUUUGGUUCCAGGGAUUGAACCCAGAGGUACUUAAGCACUGAACCACAUCCUCAGGCCUUUUUCUAUUUUUUAUUUUGGGAUAGGGUCUUGCUAAGUUGCUUAGGGCCUCACUAAAUUGCUGAGGCAGGCUUUGAACUUUUAAUCCUCCUGCCUCCUGAGCUGCUGGGAUCAUAGGUGUAUGCCACUGCACCAGACUUUUUUCUUUCUCUCUUUUUUAACUUUUAAGACAUACAUUUAAACAAAAUUUUUUUGAAGUUAUAUAUGACAGAAUGCCUUUAUUUUAUUUGUUUAUUUUUAUGGGAUGCGAGGAUCGAAUACCAGGGCCUCAGACAUGCUAGGUAAGCACUCUGCCACUGAGCUACAGCCCCAGCCCAGCUUGUAAGAAACAUUUUUAAUACACUUUAUUUUUUAGAGCAAUUUUAAGUUAAUACAAAAACUGCACAGAAAGUACAUUUGUUACAAUUGAUGAACCAAUAUUGAUAUAGUAUUACUAAAUAAGGACUAGAGUGUACAUAAGGACCAUUCUUUGUGCUGUGCAGCUCUUUGGGUUUUGACAAAUGCCUGACGUCAUGUAUUCAUCAUUACUACACCAUGUAAGACAGUUUCAUUGUCCUAAAAGUGCCCUGUGUUCCAUCUAUUCCUCCCUUCUUAGGUCUUCCUGAACUUAGUGUCCAACUUUUUUUUUUUGGGGGGAGGGGUACUAGAGAUUAAACACAGGGCCGCUCUAUCACUGAGGUACAUCCUUAGCCCUUUUUAUUUUUAAUUUUAAGACGGGGUCUCAUGAAUCUCACAAACUGACCUUGAGCUUGUAAGCUCCCUGCCUCAGCCUCACCAAGCUGGGCUCAUGGGUGUGCACCACCAGGCCUGGCCCAACUUUUUGUAUAUAAAGUACAAGAUAAUUUUUAAAAAUCAUAACGCAUAACUCCUAGCAAGAGUAUUAGUUCAUAAAACUUUGGAUGUUUUUGGAAAUUUUCUUUUAAAUACACAUGUGAAUAUAUGUAUAUUUAGGAUAAAAUGUGAAAUUUUCUUACUAUAGGUUGAAGUACAACAAAGUUUGAGAAGCACUUAAAAUUCUAGGGAAUAAAUCCAGAAAAUGAAUGCACAGGUGGAACAUUUCAUACAUGAAACCAAAACAAGAAAAACAUAACCAAGAGACAUUAAGAAAACAAACAAGUAUACAAAAAUUCUCUGAAGAGGAGUACAAAGAGGUCAGAAAGUUAAUUGUUUUUCCCCAGAUCAGCUUUGACUUCAGCUUCUUCUUUGAGAUUGCAGAUCAAAUUGUUUGAAGAUUUUAAAAUUCUCAGAGUACAAGAUAUUUUUCCUGUACUGGGUUAGAUGGAGGAGUGAGGGUUUCAUCUUUACAAACUGAUUCUGUUCAGCUUCCUAACAUGUUAUCUCUGGAUGAUAAUCAACAGAGAAAAAUUCCUUUUGAUGAAGGUUUGGUUCUAAGUUCUUUCUUCUUUCUCUCUCUCUCUCUCUCUCUCUCUCUCUCUCUCUCUCAGAUUUGCUUGGCUCUAUUGCUUCAUAUUCCUUACUUUUUCACUUGAAACAUCAUGGAACUAAGAAUGCUAUUGUAUUAACUUCGUUUCAUGCCAAGUGUCUGAAGACUCCAAAGGGAUUUGCAUUAACUUAUUUAUUUAUUUGUUUAUUUAUUUAUUCAUUCAUUCAUUCAUUUAUUUGCAGUACUGGAGAUUGAACCUAGGGUGCUUUACCACAUUCCCCAACCCAUUCUUUUUGAGGUAUAGGGGAUUGAACCCAGGGCUUUAUGCAUGCUAAGAAAGCAGUCUACCACUGAGUCCUUAUUUAUUUAUUUUUAUUUUUUGAUAUUGAGGAUUGAACCUAGGGGUACUUGACCACUGAGUCACAUCCCCAGACCUUUUUAUAUUUUAUUUUGAGGCAGGGUCUCAUUAAAUUGCUUAGGGCCUUGCUAAAUUGCUGAGGCUGGCCUUGAAUUUGGAGAUCCUCCUGGCUCAGCAUCCCGAGCUGCAGGGAUUAUAGGCACAUGCCAUCGUGCCCAGGUCCCUUAUGUUUUUAUUUUGAGACAGAAUUUCACUAAGUAUCCCAGGCAGGCCUAGAAUUUGUAAUCUUCCUGCUUAAGCCUCUGGAGUAGUUGGGAUUAGACAUGUGCCACUGGACAGGGCUCAAUUUAUUCUUAUGUUAGAUUCUUCAAUAUUUUAAAAAUCUUCCUUUUGUGUACAGCAGUGCCUCAUUUGUCCAAGAAAUGUGUAAUAUCUAGAUAUAGAAGUUACAUAGAGAAAUAUACAAGGUAUACAGAGAAAUCCUGACUUCAAAUUGAAUCUAAUUGGCCAAUCAUGUGGUGACCUCUGCUGUGAUAAUCUCUGCAGGUAAACCAGGGCCUGAAUUCCAGGUUGUACAGCUGAUCACUGUGUGAACCUGGAAAGGGAUUCUCUGUAUUCUUUGUCAAGAAUGGAAUACAAAGUUCAAAUUAAGUGAUACUGAGUUUUUAUUACCAAUUCCUCCUUGUCUGAACAAUGUGGGAACCCUGUGCAUGUGUUUCUAACCCUAUCAACAAUCCCAUGACACACAAAAUAUUGUACUCAUUUAACAGUUGAAUAAAUUUGGGCUUGGAAAGCCUAAGAAACAUUCCCAAGUGGUUAACUAGGUCAGAAUUCAUAUCUGAUUCCCCCCCCCCCCCGAAUUGGGGAUUGAACGGAGGGCCUCACACACACUGUAUAAAUGCCCUACCACUGGGCCUACAUCUUCAACUUGGUACCCAUAUCUGAGAGAGCAGAGGUCAAUUCUUUUACAUGCCCCUAAGGACUAAUGUUGUGCAGCACAUAGUACAUGCUCAAUGAAUGUUUCCUGAAGAACUGAAGAGCAAAAGUUUAACCAAGACUGUGGUAUGGCUGUAAAAUAAUACUAAAAUAAGGUACCAUUACUAAUAUUGCCCGUAACAUACUGAGUACUUACUGUUUGCCAGAUACUAUGUUAAAGUCUUUAAAUGUAUUACAUACACAAUGUACAUAAAGGAUUUAACACAAGUUAUGGCAAUAGUAGACUUCAAUGUUACUAAUACUACAUACAACUAUAAUGAUAGCUAUUAUCAUUAUAGUAAAAGAGCUUAAUGAUAUGAUCUCUUCCAACCCAUGCUCUCUUAGUGCUUCUCUCUGAGUCUUGAACAGGUCAAACUGAGGGUGAAUCCUUUCAGCAGCAAACCAGCUCAAAACCUGGUUUCUCCAUCCAUCUACUUUUAACAUAGGCACAAUCAUGACAUGCUGUGUUGGUUUCAUCUCUAAAUUACAUAAGGAGCCCCCAGCAUGCUUGCUGUGGGAGGCAGGAGGAGGGUGGUGUUCUCUUGCUUGUACUCAGUUUGCAUAACAUACUCUUUUGGGGUGAAUUGAGAAAGAAGUCACAUGGUCUGAUGGCAGCUGCUGGAGGAAGGAGUGGUGACUCAGCAGGGCUCUGCAGGACAGUGCACCAAGCUCCCAGGAGCAGCAAACAUUAGCACCCCCAGGCCACCAGGGAGCCCUGUAGUAGAAGGAAGGAAGGGAAGUUGAGUGGCCUUGGGGACAUGGGGAAGAAUUCUGGGAUCUGGACCAUGUGAUUCUGUCCUAGCACUGAGCCAGCAUACUUUAAAGUGGGGAAGUUCCAGGUGUUGCCCAUGGUAUACACACAAUAGCCCAGAGCCUGGAAAUUAAAUUUCCCAGAUGGUAACUGGAAUUUUCACAAAGUCAAUGCCACAGGCAGGAGGAUUAUGCACAAUUUUAGAAACAGACCAUAUUAUUACUGAGAAACUGAUGUGACUCCAUUUUUGAGAAACCAGCUUCUACCUCAAGGCUUGUCCUAAGGAAGAGGGCAUGACCCUUGUCCUGGGAAAAACCCACAGAGCCUUUCUAGGCACAUACUCACCCUGCUGAGUUGUUUGUCUGCAAAUAACAGGAGAGAUCUGCAGCACCAGGUGUCCCUGACUCAGUUAGGCCAGGUGAAGACCCAUAGCAACUCCCUAGCAACCACCAAUCAGCAUGAGACAGGGAAAAUACCUGGGAUGCCAGAUGACUCCCAGUAGUUUAUGGUGGUUGAUUACAUGUUGGGAAACCAUGUAGUUUAGCACAUACACCCUUCAUGGCUCAAACCAAUCAGUUCAAUGGAAUCCUCCUCUUGUACUAACCAAUCACCCCUACCCAACUUGUUCCCGCCAGUGAAUGUGCUAAUCAAUGUUAAGAGUUGUUGUUUGAUUUUCCCACGGUAUGAAAUGAUUUGCUGUGUGAUGUUGUGACGCAUAGAGUAUCCCCCAAAAAACCUAUAAAAUCUCACUGAACAAAGGACUGGAACUCACUCCCUGGGACCGCUGUGUUGGGAACGGUUGUGAGUCCAGGUUUAAGCUUGCAAUAAAGACUCUUGUGUGAUUGCAUCGGAUUUGGCUCCUGGAGGUCUAUUGGGGUCCCACGAAUCUGGCAUUACAAUUACAACUCCAGAUCUUCCCUCUAAUGAUCCUACUGUUAAAUACAAUAUCAAUAUAUUUUGAAAUAAAACUCAUAAAAAGAUAUAAUAUGAAGUCACUCUUACCUCUGAUAACUGGAAAGUCUUUCACUAAAAAUUCUCAAGAAAGGGGCUGGAGUUGUGGCUCAGUGGUAGAGCACUUGCCUUGCACGUGUGAGGCACUGGGUUCAAUCCUCAGCAUGACAUAAAAAUAAAUAAAAUAAAGGUAUUGUGUUCAUCUGCAUUUAAAAAAAUAAAAAUAAAUUCUCAAGAAAGGGUUCUUAAAGUUUAUUCAUUUUUUCUGUUUAUCCAUACCUUCAAUCAAUCUACAAAUAUUUAUUAUUAUUAUUAUUAUUACUAUUAUCACUCUCCAAGGUAAAGCUGAUGAACAUUUUAGUAGUAGAAGUCAGAAGCUGGUAUUUGAGUUCCAUUUUUACUAGUACUUAACUGUGAAAUUUAGGAAAUUUCCUUUGUAAAAUGUGGAGGAAAAUUCUUAGCUUGUAUCCCAAGAACUUUACAAAUAUCAUGAGAUAAUGUAUGGAAAGUGAUAAAGCAUCUUAUGGAAAAGUGGUAAAAAUUGCAUUUUUAUGACUUGGAGUCUGAGGCAGGAAGAUCUCAAGUUGAAGGCCAGCCUGAGUAGCUUAGCAAGUCCUUAUCUCAAAAGAAAAAAAAAAAAAAACGAAAACGAUGUAGCUUAUGAUAGAGCACCUAUUCAUUCCCCAGUAAAGAAGAAAAAAAAUGAAUUUUUACCUCAUAAAGAAACUGAGACAUGAAAUGAAUAAAGAUUUGCUCAAGUUCAUAAUUAGCUAGUAAAGGAAUUCAAAGGCUGGAUAUAAAUUCAGGUAAUUGGACAUAGUAUAGGUGGAAUAAAUUCAGCUGAACAAUUGCUUUUGCUGGGCACGGUGGUGCAUGCCUGCAAUCCCAGCAGCUCUGGAGGCUGAGGCAGGAGGAUCACAAGUUCAAAGUCAGCCUCAGAAAUGGAGAGGCACUAAGCAAAUCUGUGAGAGAGACCUUGUCUCUAAAUAAAAUACAAAAUAGGACUGGGGAUGUGGCUCAGUAGUUGAGUGCCCCUGAGUGCAAUCCCUGGUAACAAACAAAUAAACAAACAAAAACCAGUUGAUUUCUUUGUUCUUUUUCUUUCCUCCAAUACAUGGGAUUGAAAUCAAGGGUGCUUUCUUAGCUCACAGUUCUGUAGGACAAGAGCAGGGCACUGGCUUCUGCAUGGCUCCUCCCAGGUCAGCCACGUGUGCAUGGUUGGUUCCAUCAGCUGUUCCCUCCCUCCACUAUCACUACCUCCCAGGCCUUGUAGUCACAUGAGCUCGCACUAUCACUAGCUUUGGGUGGCAAGUGUGCUAAACUGCCAAGGGGUGUUAUCACAUAAAGUGAGGAAUUAUUUAUAGAGAGGGUGCACUUUGUUGUUGUUGGUUUUUUUGGUUUUUUUUUUUUUUUUUUAAAUAAUUCUCUCUAUCGCUUUUUUUUUUAAAGAGAGAGAAUUUUUUAAUAUUUAUUUUUUAGUUAUCGGCAGACACAACAUCUUUGUUUAUAUGUGGUGCUGAGGAUCGAACCCGGGCCGCACGCAUGCCAGGCGAGCGCGCUACCGCUUGAGCCACAUCCCCAGCCCCUGAGAGGGUGCACUUUGAAUGAUUGUAUUAUGGAUUUUGUUUAUGAGAUUAAAGACCCCAAAUUUCCUAGUCAAACAACCAGUUCAGGGCUAUGGUUGUAGCUCAGUGGCAGAACACUUGCCUAGCAUGUGGGAGGCCCUAAAUUCAGUCCCCAGUACUGCCCAAUCCCCCCCCCCAAAUAAAUUAAUUUCAUAAAUAUUGGGUAGGGCUCUGAAGAUAGACACAUAUGUCCAGAAGAUAUGCCCAGAAAUAAUUGUAUUAUAAGGCCAUCUAUGAACAUUUCUUAGAGACUGUCAUAAAAUUACAUGGAAAAAUAAAAAUGGAUUAAGUAUCCUAAAGGAACCAGAAAGUUUUCAUUGAGCAAAUGCAGUUUGAGAUAUGGCUUGAAAUAUUUAUUUGAUUUUAUUUUUGGUACAGGGAAUUGAAUGAACCCAGAGGCACUCGACCACUGAGCCGCAUCCCCAGCCCUAUUUUGUAUUUAAUUUAGAGACAGGGUCUCACUGAGUUGCUUAGCACCUUGCUUUUGCUGAGGCUUCCCCAGCCCUUUUUUACAUUGAUUUCACAGGGAUGUUCAAGACUGCAGUUCAUGAAGAAUACACACCAAACUGUUAAUUGUGGUCACUACAGGAGUGGUAGGUGAUACACAGGAUUAUAGAGUCCUUUCAUGCAGUCCAAUUUGAUUGCAUCUGUCGUCCAUAAUAAACCAAGAUACAGAAAGGCAGAAAGCAUUCCCUCCAUUGUGCCGUGAUAGGGAAGAAGAGAGCUACAGAGAGCAGAUGGAGGGAAGGCCUACCUGUUCUCUGAUGGUACGGGAGGUCAUAUAUGAAUACGUAUAUGAAUAUAGUGGGUAAAGAAUGUCAUGCAUGCUGGACACGGCCCUUAAUCUCAUGAAGAUUAUAAUACAUAUAAAACAUAAGUCUUUUCAACACAUGCAUUUUUUAAUAUAUACACACAAACAUGCAUACACUACAUAUACAGAAUAUACUUCUAAAUUAAUUACAUUUUAAUUAUCUUUUAGCUCACAAAAAUAGCAUUUUUGUUGUAAAAUAUAAUUAAUAUAUUCUGGAUAUCUUAUCAGAUAUAUGGUUUGCAUUUGUUUUCUUCCAAUCUGUGGGUUGCCCUUUUGCUCAAUUGAUAGUUUUGUCAUUGUUUUGUUUGUUUACUGGUGGUACUAAGGACUGAAUCCAAGACUGGCCCAUGUUUGGCAAGCAUUCUGCUGAGCUACACCCCAAGUCCUCUUUAUUUUUAAGAUUAUUAUUAUUAUUGGUACUGGGGAUUGAACACAGAAAUGCUUUACCAAUGGGCUACAUCCCAGUCCAUUUUAUUUUUUGAGAUAGGGUCUCACUUAAGUUGCUUAGGGCCUUGCUAAGUUGUCAAGGCUGGUUUCGAACUUGCAAUCCUCCUGCCUCAGUCUCCCAAAUUGAUGGAAUUACAGGCAUACACCACCAUACCUGGCUCAAGCCCUUUUUAUUUUAUUUUGAAACAGGGUCUCACUAAAUUUCGUAGGCUGGCCUCAAACUUGCAAUCCUCCUGCCUUAGCUCUCUGAAUAGAUGGGAUUAUAGGCAUGUACCACCAUGCCUGGUCUGAUAGUGUCAAAAAGUUUUAAAUUUUUAUUAAGGCCAAUUUGUAUAUUUUUUCUUUUGCUGCCUGUACUUUUGCUGUCAUAUUCAAGAAAUUGUUGCCACUAUCAUAAAGGUUUUCUUGUGUUUCUUUUUCCUAAGGGUUUUAUAGCUUCAGGUCUAUUAAGUUUUUGAUCCAUUUGGAGUUCAUUUUUAUAUAUAUUAAAAGAUAAAGGUCCAUUUUGUGUGUGUGUGUGAAUAUCCCCUUUCCCAGUAUUCUUUGUGAAAAAGACUGUCCUUUCCCCACUGAAUGGUCUUGACACCCUUCUCAGAAAAUCAAUUGACCAUACAUAUGAGGGCUUAUUUCUGGACUCUCUAUUCUGAUCCAUUGGUCUGCUAUAGAUUUGUGUUUAAAAUAAGGUAGUGUAAGUUCUCCAACUUUGUACUUAUUCAAGGUUGCUUUGGCUAUUUGGAGCUUCUUGAGAUUUCCUAUGAAUUCUGGGAUGGAUUUUUCUAUUUCUGCAAAGCAGCACCACUGGGAUUUUGAUAGGGUUUGCUGUAGCAAGGUUGCAGUCAGAGGGAAGAAUGUUGGGGUUUAGACCUCUAGGAAGGUAAGGUGCUCCAAAGGUAACUCACAAAGACACUGACUUCAGAGGGAGAUUCAAGACUGCAGUUUAGGAAAAAUAUAUACCAAACUCUGAAUGGAGGUUAUCACUGGAAACGGGGUGGGGAUAUGGACAGGAUUAUAGAAGGAUUUUAUUAUAGCACCUUUGUUUUUAGUACUGGGGAUUUAACCCAGGGAAAUUUACCACUGAGCCACAUCCCCAGGACUUUUUAUUUUGAGAUGGAGACUUGCUAAAUUGCACAGUUUCUGAAGCUGGCCUUGAAUUUGCAAUCCUCCUGCCUCAACCUCCUGAGUCACUGGGAUUACUUGGGCGUGCUACCACGUGGGCAUUAUAGCACCUUUUUAAGAAUAAAGGAUAAUAAGAGUUAUUGAUUUAAGGUUAUAAUUUAGGAACUUUAAUUUGGGAGAGGAAGAUUAUGAAUCAGGUCCCUUUUUGUGGACUAACCCUCACAGAGUGACCAGAAGGUGUCUGAUGAUACAGGCACAGAUGCAUGGAGGGUGUAGGAUACCUACCAGCUGACCUUAUCUCUUAUUUUUUUCAGAGCAAUGGUCUGGCAGUAGCACUGUGCAGCUGAGACAAGGCCAACCCUGCAAAUAGAAGUGAUAAAGCAAACACCCUUGACUCAAGGUGGCGGCAGGGUAAGCUAUAU